rnacentral:rRNA from 1 species
UACAGAGGGUGCAAGCGUUGUUCGGAAUUAUUGGGCGUAAAGCGCGUGUAGGCGGCUUGGCAAGUCGGGUGUGAAAUCCCUCAGCUUAACUGAGGAAGUGCGCCCGAAACUGCCGAGCUUGAGUACCGGAGAGGGUGGCGGAAUUCCCCAAGUAAAGGUGAAAUUCGUAGAUAUGGGGAGGAACACCGGUGGCGAAGGCGGCCACCUGGACGGAUACUGACGCUGAGACGCGAAAGCGUGGGGAGCAAACAGG